CCACCCCCCGGCCACAUUCGAGCAAGCGCACUGACGGAGACAUCAACACCCAAGUGCCCAUAGAGCUCAAAAGGGGCAGCGCGCACGACGGAGGAUUUGCGGCAACUCGUGAGGCACUCGGUGCGCAUUUUGCAUUUUUUUUUCGGUUUCGCAUAGCCCAUCCUUGGUUCUGCUGCUUCGAGCAGAUCAGCUUCUUCACGCACACAGCCGCCUCAGACGGCUUUCGCGUCGCUUUCCCAUGUCUCGCUACGUUCCUCCUCACCGACGUGAAGCAGUGGCCUCGUCCUCCGACGACCUGACCUCUACCGGCUCGGUGGCGUUUCAGCAAGAGGCAUGGCGCGCGCUAAGCCGCAGCAUCACCGGCGUGGUGAACAGGGUGAACAAAGACAACCUGCAACAGUCAGCCGUGGAACUCUUCCGUGAAAACCUCAUCCGCGGCCGUGGCUUGUUUGCCCGUAGUAUGAUGCGCACGCAGCAGGUGGAUCCGGAUCUUACGCCGGUGCUGGCCGCUUUGACCAGCCGCAUCAACAAAGAUCUUCCGACGGUGGUUGAGCUGCUCUGCAGGCGCCUUGUGGUGCAGUGGAAUCGUGCCUACCUGCGCAAAGACUGGCGCUACGUCGAGAACGCAAGUCGCUACCUGGGGUGGCUCUUCCUGCUAAACGUUGUCGAGGUGGACAUCAUCUAUCAGCUUUUACUGAAGCACCUAACGUCGGAGAAGCGGAGCGACGAGGACAUUGAUCAAGCGGCGAAGCUGUUCAGGGAGACGUUUAAGGUGAUGUCGCUUAACGAGCGACGGUCCUUCCACGAGCAAAUCCUAACACCCUUUCGAGAUUUGUUGGCCAUGGAUGACGAGGAGCUGCGGCUGUCCACCCGCUCCCAGGCGGUGCUCGAGUCGUGCCUGAAGGAGGUGCAGGAGUGGGAGCGGCGCAAGGAAAGGGAGGAGGCGAUUCCGGACUACCUCGUUCUCUUUGACCUGGAGAUGCAGCAGAAGCAUGAGAUGGACCUGGACGAGAAGUACCCGACGGAGGAUACGCUGGACCGGUACGCGUUCGAUGCCGAGUACGACACUCACGAGGAGCAGUACGAAGCGGUGCGCAAGGCUAUUCUCGGCGAAGACUGGGAGGUGGAGCUGCUGCAGCAGGUCGCAGACGCCGAGGGGGAUGAGGAUGAGAAGGGAGGCGGUGAGGACGGCGAGGAGGCCGCCGAUGGCCCAUCUGCUGGGGCAGGUGCGGCUGCAUCCGAGGCCGCUUCGUUGCCCACGAGUGCGGAGCUGGAUGCAUCCAAGACCCUCAUAGACGCCGAGGAGCGCAAGCUCCGGCGUGAGGUGUACCUGGCGAUGCGUAGCAGCAUCCGCGCCGAUGAGGCGGUACACAAGAUUCUGAGACAGAUGCAGCCGCAGACGGAGCGGACCAUCUGCUUCAUGGUGAUUGAGGGCUGCUGCGAAGAGCGAGCCUACCGCAAAAUGUACAGUAUGGCAGCGGAGCGACUGUGCAAGAGCAACGCCCGUUUUCAGGCCUUCUUUGUGGAGGCGUUCCACGCGCGCUACGAGAGCGCGAGCGAGCUAACGUUGAAGCAGAUCGAGUACACAUGCAAGGUGUACAGCCAUCUGCUCCGCACCAACUCGGUGUACUGGAGCCGCUGCCUGAGCUGUCUCGAUAUAGUCGAGAACAGUGAAUCGCAGCGUCUCAUAAUCCAGUAUCUCUUCAAAGGAGUGGCGGAGGAGAUUGGCAUGCCGGGUAUCAUGGAGCGGUUUCAGAAGGACGAGGAGUUGCGCUGGCACACCCAACGAUUGUUCCCGCUCAAUCAAGGAGUCGAGGCGCUGAAGAGUGCGGUGAACUUGUACGUGGCGAUGGGGCUGCCCGAAAUGACGGCGCCUCUACGAGCUGCGCUUGAAGAGGAGCGGGCGGCUCAGAAGCGUGCGCGCGUGGACUACUAAGGUAGCACCCCCUUUUUUUUGUGCGCUCUUACUGUUGUCUUCUGUGUGCUACUUUUCAGUUUCUCCAACGUGCACGACCGCUUAAACUACAACGCAGGCACGUAAGGCUGAUGCGAAGUACGGUUUUGACAGGAAGUAUGACGUGCCAGAUGUGUAUCUCCUCUUUUUCGGGAGGGCGGAAGUGGGAGAGGGCACGGGCAUGUUCGCUUUUUUGUUGUUCUUGCUGUUGCAGGUGCGGGUCUCUCGCUGCUUCCUUGACCCUUUUGGGUCCCCUUGUUGGAAGCACUGUGUCCCUCCAUGUGCAUGUGUGUGCGCGUCGGCAGCUCACUUCAUUCACGACCCACCACACGCGCAACAAGGCAAACGGCUGCAGCUGUUUCUAUUGGUGCUCAUUGGCCCUUGAGGAACUGUGCAGAAUGCCAUAUUGCAUACGUCUCAUCUUUUCGUCCUCUAUGUGCCUCUUUCUCUCCUUCGUCUCCUUAAUGCCGAGUGGGGCGAUUUCUUCAACCGCCGAUCCGCCACGGACAG
rnacentral:misc_RNA from 1 species